AGAGUUUGAUCAUGGCUCAGGACGAACGCUGGCGGCGUGCCUAAUACAUGCAAGUAGAACGCUGAAGGGAGGAGCUUGCUCUUCUUGGAUGAGUUGCGAACGGGUGAGUAACGCGUAGGUAACCUGCCUUGUAGCGGGGGAUAACUAUUGGAAACGAUAGCUAAUACCGCAUAACAAUGGAUGACACAUGUCAUUUAUUUGAAAGGGGCAAUUGUUCCACUACAAGAUGGACCUGCGUUGUAUUAGCUAGUAGGUGAGGUAAUGGCUCACCUAGGCGACGAUACAUAGCCGACCUGAGAGGGUGAUCGGCCACACUGGGACUGAGACACGGCCCAGACUCCUACGGGAGGCAGCAGUAGGGAAUCUUCGGCAAUGGGGGCAACCCUGACCGAGCAACGCCGCGUGAGUGAAGAAGGUUUUCGGAUCGUAAAGCUCUGUUGUAAGUCAAGAACGGGUGUGAGAGUGGAAAGUUCACACUGUGACGGUAGCUUACCAGAAAGGGACGGCUAACUACGUGCCAGCAGCCGCGGUAAUACGUAGGUCCCGAGCGUUGUCCGGAUUUAUUGGGCGUAAAGCGAGCGCAGGCGGUUUGAUAAGUCUGAAGUUAAAGGCUGUGGCUCAACCAUAGUUCGCUUUGGAAACUGUCAAACUUGAGUGCAGAAGGGGAGAGUGGAAUUCCAUGUGUAGCGGUGAAAUGCGUAGAUAUAUGGAGGAGCACCGGUGGCGAAAGCGGCUCUCUGGUCUGUAACUGACGCUGAGGCUCGAAAGCGUGGGGAGCGAACAGGAUUAGAUACCCUGGUAGUCCACGCCGUAAACGAUGAGUGCUAGGUGUUGGAUCCUUUCCGGGAUUCAGUGCCGCAGCUAACGCAUUAAGCACUCCGCCUGGGGAGUACGACCGCAAGGUUGAAACUCAAAGGAAUUGACGGGGGCCCGCACAAGCGGUGGAGCAUGUGGUUUAAUUCGAAGCAACGCGAAGAACCUUACCAGGUCUUGACAUCCCGAUGCUAUUUCUAGAGAUAGAAAGUUACUUCGGUACAUCGGUGACAGGUGGUGCAUGGUUGUCGUCAGCUCGUGUCGUGAGAUGUUGGGUUAAGUCCCGCAACGAGCGCAACCCCUAUUGUUAGUUGCCAUCAUUCAGUUGGGCACUCUAGCGAGACUGCCGGUAAUAAACCGGAGGAAGGUGGGGAUGACGUCAAAUCAUCAUGCCCCUUAUGACCUGGGCUACACACGUGCUACAAUGGUUGGUACAACGAGUUGCGAGUCGGUGACGGCGAGCUAAUCUCUUAAAGCCAAUCUCAGUUCGGAUUGUAGGCUGCAACUCGCCUACAUGAAGUCGGAAUCGCUAGUAAUCGCGGAUCAGCACGCCGCGGUGAAUACGUUCCCGGGCCUUGUACACACCGCCCGUCACACCACGAGAGUUUGUAACACCCGAAGUCGGUGAGGUAACCUUUUGGAGCCAGCCGCCUAAGGUGGGACAGAUGAUUGGGGUGAAGUCGUAACAAGGUA
rnacentral:rRNA from 1 species